rnacentral:rRNA from 1 species
AUGCUAAAAACCCCGACUCCGGAAGGGGUGUAUUUAUUAGAUAAAAAACCAAUGCCCUCUGGGGCUCCUGGGUGAUUCAUGAUAACUCGACGAAUCGCAUGGCCUCGCGCCGGCAUGGUUCAUUCAAAUUUCUGCCCUAUCAACUUUCGAUGUUUGGGUCUUGGCCAAACAUGGUGUCGACGGGUGACGGAGAAUUAGGGUUCGAUUCCGGAGAGGGAGCCUGAGAAACGGCUACCACAUCCAAGGAAGGCAGCAGGCGCGCAAAUUACCCAAUCCCGACCCGGGGAGGUAGUGACAAUAAAUACUGAUACAGGGCUCUUUUGGGUCUUGUAAUUGGAAUGAGUACAAUUUAAACCCCUUAACGAGGAACAAUUGGAGGGCAAGUCUGGUGCCAGCAGCCGCGGUAAUUCCAGCUCCAAUAGCGUAUAUUAAAGUUGUUGCAGUUAAAAAGCUCGUAGUUGAACCUCGGGCCUGGCUGGCCGGUCCGCCUCACCGCGUGCACUGGUCCGGCCGGGUCUUUCUGCCUGGGGAACCGCAUGCCCUUCGCUGGGUGUGCUGGGGAAUCAGGACCUUUACUGUGAAAAAAUUAGAGUGUUCAAAGCAGGCCUAUGCUCGAAUACAUUAGCAUGGAAUAAUAAAAUAGGGGUCUAUUUUGUUGGUUUCUAGGACCGCUGAAAUGAUUAAUAGGGAUGGUCGGGGGCGUCGGUAUUCAACUGCUAGAGGUGAAAUUCUUGGAUUUGUUGAAGACCAACUACUGCGAAAGCAUUCGCCAAGGAUGUUUUCAUUAAUCAGGAACGAAAGUUAGGGGAUCGAAGACGAUCAGAUACCGUCGUAGUCUUAACCAUAAACUAUGCCGACUAGGGAUCGGGCGAUGUUACUUUUU